AAAUUUUUAGUUUAUUUAAAAACAUUGAUAUUGUAAAUCAAAAAAAAAAUCAAAAUUUA
rnacentral:tRNA from 1 species